rnacentral:rRNA from 1 species
GGCAACACUACCUGGAACAGGGGACGCUGGAGGCCUUUGGGUACUUGGCCGACCCUGUGGCGAGCUCGAGUAACGUUGAGCCGUCGCAACGCGCGCAAAGGAGUGGGCACCGACGGUGCUUAAGGUACGUGCUAUCCGCUGGGUAACCAGUCUC